GGCCGCCUGGCGAAAUGGUAUCGCGUCUGACUACGAUACGUAUUGAUCAGGAGAUUGCAGGUUCGAGCCCUGCGGUGGUCA